rnacentral:rRNA from 1 species
GACGAACGCUGGCGGCGUGCUUAACACAUGCAAGUCGAACGGAAAGGCCCUGCUUUUGUGGGGUGCUCGAGUGGCGAACGGGUGAGUAACACGUGAGUAACCUGCCCUUGACUUUGGGAUAACUUCAGGAAACUGGGGCUAAUACCGGAUAGGAGCUCCUGCUGCAUGGUGGGGGUUGGAAAGUUUCGGCGGUUGGGGAUGGACUCGCGGCUUAUCAGCUUGUUGGUGGGGUAGUGGCUUACCAAGGCUUUGACGGGUAGCCGGCCUGAGAGGGUGACCGGCGACAAUGGGACUGAGAGACGGCCCAGACUGCAACGGGGGGCAGCAGUGGGGAAUAUUGCACAAUGGGCGGAAGCCUGAGGCAGCAACGCCGGGGGCGGGAUGACGGCCUUCGGGUUGUAAACCGCUUUCGCCUGUGACGAAGCGUGAGUGACGGUAAUGGGUAAAGAAGCACCGGCUAACUACGUG